rnacentral:misc_RNA from 1 species
UAAUAAGUGUUUUAUGGCACUUUUUAAAUCCAUAUCCACCUUGUGUGCAAUGUCAGUCGAUCUUCUUCAUGGAGAUUGACCUAAACAUCAACCUUUAUUUUUUAACUCUUUGUCUGAAAAAUAUUAUGAAUAAACAAUUCAAAAUA